UGUAACUUGGGUAGUAAGCCAGUAAUUAAAGGGGUUCCUAUGCUAAAAAAGAGUAUAAAAGGGACUAAAAUGCAAAACAAAAUUUGCAAGGUUGCCCUAGUUCUUUGCCUAUAAAAGGCAGCAUUUCUUACCUUAAAAAAGGGGAAGAAGCUGAAAAUCCAGAAAUCAAGGUUGCCUAGCUUUUACUAUUUUAGAAAGGGGAAAGCACUGUUUUAUUGAUUUCUGAUUCCAAUUUUGAGGUUUUGUAUCAUAAAUUAAUUCUGGUCCGUUUGGGACUUCAAAAUGGGUUGAUAUUUUGUUGAUGAUAGUUCUGAUUCAAGCUAUUUGAGGCUUGAUUUUUCACUAGUUUUUGUUAGGUUUCUUUUCUGGGUUAUCAAUUGUUAUAACUGGUGCUGUUGGUUUGUUUAUUACUGUCCUAUUGUUAGUCCCUAACUUCUCUUUCUUUUGUGCAAUUUUCAGGUAUUUUUCAGCUCUAUGGAUGUCACUUGAAGUGUAACUUGAAAUAGAAGUUGGAAAACAUGAAAUAGAAAUGUGAUUGUCUGUUUGGUUUAUAUUGUGUUCUUCUUUCAAUUUUAUUACUAGAUUAUAAUGGCUGGGCAUAAAUUGGUCAUGUGAUUGUAAUACAGUGUUUGAAAUGAAUGUUGAGAUCAUUACUCGUGUGUUGUAUCCUCAAGUGCAUUUUCGAAUUUGAGUCUAUAUUAGUUAACAAAUCAGAUGUAUAUUUGUUUUUUGGUAUGUGUAAGUUAGCCUUUUAGUUUGGUAAAUGGACUUUUGAAUAGAUUCUAUUUUGAGCAUGACAGGAUAUGAAUGUUGCUAAGACUGUAUUUCACAAAAGAAAAAUAAAGAUGUUAAGAAUAUUUGUUAUUCUCUGUGGGCUUGAUUAUUAA
rnacentral:lncRNA from 1 species